rnacentral:tRNA from 1 species
GCCGAGAUAGCUCAGCUGGUAGAGCAGCCGCUUCGUAAGCGGCAGGUCCGGGGUUCGAUCCCCCGUAUUGGCU